GAGAGGAGAGAGAAGAGAGAGUGGGCGGCAGAUUCCACAUGGCCUCGCUGCCUCAUCGCCCUUCGGAGCCGGACGCGAUGAACAUUGACGCCGCCGCUCGCCGGCCGGAGACGGCGGAGCACAAGCAAACAGAGGUAGGAAACGAGAAUUUAACAGGCCAUAUUAUAUCAACAACCAUAGGAGGAAAGAAUGGUGAAGCCAAACAGACAAUCAGUUACAUGGCGGAGCGUGUGGUGGGAACUGGCUCAUUCGGCAUCGUUUUCCAGGCCAAAUGCCUGGAGACGGCGGAAUCGGUGGCGAUAAAGAAGGUUCUGCAGGACAAGAGGUACAAGAAUCGGGAGCUGCAGCUGAUGCGCUCGAUGGAUCAUCCGAACGUGAUAUCCCUUAAGCACUGCUUCUUCUCCACGACGAGCCAGGAUGAGCUUUUCUUGAAUCUGGUCAUGGA
rnacentral:misc_RNA from 1 species